CUACCAAGACAGUGACGGUUGACGGGGAAUCGGGGUUUGAUUCCGGAGAGGGAGCCUGAGAGAUGGCUGCCACGUCCAAGGGCGGCAGCAGGCGCGAAACUUACCCACUUGGAGGACCAGAGGUAGUGACGAGGCGUGAUACAUGAGGUCAGUGUAAAUAUCUGACCGAAGGCAACUAGAGGGCAAGUCUGGUGCCAGCAGCCGCGGUAAUUCCAGCUCUAGGAGCGUCUGUGUGUGUUGCUGCGGUUAAAAAGCACGUAGUCGGGCAGACAGCCAGCAAUAAAUGCGCGGUCUCUUGCCGCGCGGUGUGCUGGAACGAAGGCCUAGGGACCGGAGAGGGGCAACGGUAUUCGGCAGCGAGGGGUGAAAACCAAUGACCUAUCGAGGAGCAACAGAGGCGAAGGCGGUUGUCCGGGACGGGUCCGACGAUCAUGUGCGUGAGCGGGAGGAUCGAAGGCGAUUAGAGACCGUCGUAGUUCCAGCAGUAAAAGAUGCC
rnacentral:rRNA from 1 species